rnacentral:rRNA from 1 species
CCUACGGGAGGCAGCAGUGAGGCAUAUUGGUCAAUGGGCGCGAGCCUGAACCAGCCAAGUCGCGUGAGGGAAGACGGUCCUAUGGAUUGUAAACCUCUUUUGUCGGGGAGCAAAAGACGCCACGCGUGGCGGUCCGAGAGUACCCGAAGAAAAAGCAUCGGCUAACUCCGUGCCAGCCGCCGCGGUAAUACGGAGGAUGCGAGCGUUAUCAGGAUGUAAUGGGUUUAAAGGGUGCGCAGGCGGAAGAUCAAGUCAGCGGUAAAAUUGAGAGGCUCAACCUCUUCGAGCCGUUGAAACUGGUUUUCUUGAGUGAGUGAGAAGUAUGCGGAAUGCGUGGUGUAGCGGUGAAAUGCAUAGAUAUCACGCAGAACUCCGAUUGCGAAGGCAGCAUACCGGCGCUCAACUGACGCUCAUGCACGAAAGUGUGGGUAUCGAACAGGAUUAGAUACCCGGGUAGUC